CCCUUAGAUGUUCUGGGCCGCACGCGCGCUACACUGACGAAGUCAGCGAGCAUGUCCUACGCCGACAGGUGCGGGGAAUCUUGUCAAACUUCGUCGUGAUGGGGAUUGAUUAUUGAAAUUCUUGAUCAUCAACGAGGAAUUCCUAGUAAGCGCAAGUCAGCAGCUUGCGUUGAUUACGUCCCUGCCCUUUGUACACACCGCCCGUCGCUACUACCGAUUGAAUGGUUUAGUGAGAUCUUCGGAUUGGCGCCACUGCGGCUCAGCAAUGGGCUCGGUGGAUGCCGAAAAGUUGAUCAAACUUGAUCAUUUAUAGGAAGUAAAAGUCGUAACA
rnacentral:rRNA from 1 species